AUUCAAAAAUUUUAUUUGAUUUUAAUUUUAAUAGUUUUAUUUAUGUUUUAUUAUAUUUUAAUGACUCUUCUAACCCUUCAUCAUCACAUAAUCCAAAAUGAAUGCAUACUGACCGAUAGGCAAUGUUCACCUUGUGAUGCGACUAAAUGUAUAUCUCCGAUGCAGUGUUUAUACGGUUUUGUCCCAGAUCCCUGUUACUGUUGCAUGCAAUGUGCCAAAGGUUUAGGUGAUAUCUGCGGAGGCAUUAUGGAAGAGCGGGGAAUAUGCGCCGAAAAUCUAAUUUGCAAAGUCAUUCCUAAAUCCACAUUAGAAGGCCCUAAGGUUGGGGUAUGUCUAAACGAUACAAAUAAUUUUCUUCUCUCUUUAAUCAAAGGUAUCAAGGUUCUCUCUAUUUAACGCGUAUUGUUUAAAAAAAAUUGAC